ACCCCUUUUGACCAGUACCUGAAGGUAGCUAUAAAGGGGCUGAGUAAAUCAAUUAACUCUGUGGUUUUCAUGGAGAUCUCUUGAUAUCAAAAUUUCUUUUUUUAAACACAUGUCUCCUCUGAUCCUAUGGAGAUGAAAAUUGACAUCCAUAGCCACAUUCUACCAAAAGAAUGGCCAGAUCUAGAAAAGGGAGAGGAAAGUUUUGCAUCAGUAUUAGCCCAUGCCACAUCACCCCCCAUUACCUGCCUCCCAUCCUGAAGAUUGCCUGUUUUUCAGCAGAGAACUGGCCACCUACAGCUGACAAUUUCUAGGUGCUCCACUUCAUGCAGGGCCCUAAAGGAAUUGUUCAAACUACUUGGAAAAUUGAGUGAUAAAGAAAAUUAGAGCACAUAGAUGUGUGCCCUGGAAAACUCCCAGGCAUUUGUCUUGCUGCCACUUUAUACUGCCUGCCCCUCCUAUCAAGCAAAGUUUAUUGUCUUGAAAGAUGAAGCAGUAUUUUAUUGCAAUAAUCAGGUUUUUCCUACCCAGCAGUCUCACAUGCUGCAAGCAGAUAGAUGAUACAUUUUACAAUGAUACUAGUCACAGUAUUUUGUAGUUCUAGGGAUAUAUACUCCACAA